rnacentral:lncRNA from 1 species
CUAUUUUAUAUUAAUUUGAGAAUUAAGAUAUGUUGAUCUGUUAUAUGCAUUUGUAUCUAAUAAACUUGAUCAACUUCUUAAUAUAACUCAGACCGUACGCGUACGGUCCGACCGUAUGAGUAUUUUGAAAAAGUACGCAUACGGUCCAAAUACUCAUACGGUCUGGAACACGUACACUCACAAUUGUUGUCCUAUUGAAAUGAUAUACGAAUAAUUUUGGGGAAUAUAUUAAAGAUUUUCGUCGCUAAAUUUAAGGUUAAUUAUGUAUAAAUUUCCCAUUCUAAUUUCUAUCGAAACCACACACAAUUUGCAGCGACGAGAUCGAUGAUCAACAAAUAAAGACUGCUGACAACCUCGGAUGGCCUCAUCUGUAUAAUAUACUUCACCUUUUGUAAACGUAUAAGCACUUGUGAUACUUAAUAAUAUUAGCUCCAGUUAAACAUGUCAAUUGAAUGACCUCUUGAUAUAUAUUUAAUAUAUAGCAUCCGUAAAUAGUUUGAUUAUCUUUUUUUUGUUAAACUUGUCACUCUCUAACUCAAAUUAUAAUUUAUGUUUAGUGUUCAGUUGCAUCAGUUACAAGCAUUGACAUUAAAAUAGUACAAAUACAAA